AUUGAACGCUGGCGGCAGGCCUAACACAUGCAAAUCGAACGAGUAGCGGACGGGUGCGUAAUGUCUGGGAAACUGCCUGAUGGAGGGGGAUCACUCCUGGAAACGGUAGCUAAUACCGCAUACCAUCGGAUGUUCCCAGAUCGGAGUAGCUAGUAGGUGGGGUAAAGGCUCACCUAGGCGACGAUCCCUAACUGGUCUGAGAGGAUGACCCGCCCAACGUGAACUGAGACACGGUCCGAGAGCCUGAGGGAGGCAUCAGUGGUGAAUGUUGCACAAUGAGCGCAAGCCUGAUGCAGCCAGGCCGCGUGUAUAAAGAAGGCCUUCGGGUUGUAAAGUACUUUCAGCGGGGAGGCGUUACCCGCAGAAGAAGCAACGGCUAACUCCGUGCCAGCAGCCGCGGUAAUUC
rnacentral:rRNA from 1 species